CGCCGCUACCUCGCUUUCACUUG
rnacentral:miRNA from 11 species